GACAGAGGGUGCAAACGUUGUUCGGAUUUACUGGGCGUAAAGAGCGCGCAGGCGGUCGGAUAAGUCGAAUGUGAAAGCCCCCGGCUCAACUGGGGAGGGUCAUUCGAUACUGUUCGACUCGAAGGCAGGAGAGGGAAGUGGAAUUCCCGGUGUAGUGGUGAAAUGCGUAGAUAUCGGGAGGAACACCAGUGGCGAAGGCGACUUCCUGGCCUGUUCUUGACGCUGAGGCGCGAAAGCUAGGGGAGCAAACGGG
rnacentral:rRNA from 1 species